GAAAAGGGCACCAGAUCUCAUUACAGGUGGUUGUGAGCCACCAUGUGGUUGCUGGCAAUUGAACUCAGGACCUCUGGAAGAAGUCAGUGCUUUUAACCGCUGAGCCAUCUCUCCAGCCCCUCAAAUACUCUUAAGAUACCGCCCAGUGUCAGAGACCACUUCCUGUUGCCUGCACAAGAUACAGGACUCUCAGCUACUUCUCCAGCACCAUGUCUGCCUGCAUGCCACCACGUUGAACCAUGAUGACAACUGACUAAACCUCUGAAACUGAGCCUGAAGAAGUUCUACCAACUUUCAAAGAGAAGUGACUGACAGGCACUUGUAGCUCCAAGAAGCAGGACCCCCUCCAUGCGGACAAACGUUAACUCCUCAUCUGCUACGUGAGGCACCGUAAUAGGAGUUUCAUUUUUCUUGAAGGCCCAGAAAACCAACAGCUGCACACAAACUAUGCAAGGAGUUGAAACUCAGUUAAAACAAAAACAGAACUUGAGAUUCUCUGUUUGGAGAAUGGCUGGGCCCCCUCUGUGUCUGUUCUCCUGGGGACAUCCAUUGCCUUUGUUGUAGGACGUCUCCAGCCUGUGACAGUGGAGGUUAUGUUGUUGUGUGCUCACGAAGUUGCCCUGCUGAGGCAUGGCCCUAGCUGUGAGAUCACUCCCUGAAGAAAGAGGACCUGAAGAUGGCCCUGUGAGCCCCAAUUCUUGGCCCGUCCAUCUCUGUGUCCCCUCCAAGGUGUGGGCAUCUGCCAGCUGGAGCUCCUGUUGCUGUGCCUUCCUUGUGGAGCUGGACUGUCCUCUGAAGUUGAACCAAAUUAAACGUCUCCUCCUGUAAGCUUCCUGGUAGAGGAGUUUGGCGGAGGAAAGAAUUCAGAGUGAUUCCCUCAAGGUCAUGUUUUCCAGCCAUUUAUGGAUCUCCUUGAGCUCAACAGUUCUCACACCCAUGAGUUCUCUGAAGAGCCUGACGACAAGUGUGCUCUGAAUCCAUCCUGAUGACACAGAUUUCGGUCCACCCCAGUUCUGCAGAAGGCAUGUCUCCCGGGAGGAGUCUGCACUGCCACACUGUUCGCCAUUCUCCUCACAGGGAGGCUUGAGAAGCACAGCUGUGGUUGGCCCAGGACCCAGCCCAGACCCCGGUGGCCAUUAGGGACUUCUCCAGCCCUGUCUCCCAUCAUCGCCCAGCCUAACUUUCUCACUUAGAAGAUUGAGGCCAUCUGGUGUGAGCCUCCUGCAUUUCCUGCCCCCGCCCUCCACAGUCUCCACAUUUCCCAGUCUGCCUCCCUCUCUCUCUUUUCUUAGAAAAUAAACAUCUUCCCAUGACUAGAUUUCUACCCUCCUUGACCAUCUCCUCUGGAACGAUGACCCCCUUGAUCCUCCCUCUGUACAUUUUGGUCUUUUUCUCACCAAUGGAUUUCUCUUUUUCUUCUUUUUUUGAUUUAAAAUUUUUUUUGGAUUAGAUCUUAUGUCUUUUCUUUCCUAAAUCACAGAACAUCUUCCAGUAACUUGGCUUCUCCCUCAAAGCUGCCAGCUCUCCUCCUACUUCCUUUUCCCUGAGUGCAUCUUGUCUCUGUGUGGGUCUCAGCCUAGCAUGUUCGUUUCCUUUCUAAUCAUUGUACAGGCUGUCCUGUACAAUGCUCACCCCCAGACUGGGUGCCACACAUUGCUGCUUAGAUCCAUGGCUGGAUCCUUAGAGCCUCUUCACAAGCACAUGCCACUUAUCACCAUGGUAUCCAUCAGCUUUCUAUUACUGAUCACAAAACACCCGAGCUCGUGAAUGUUUAAGGAGCAAAUGUUUGUUUUGGUUUGUGAUUUCAGUUGAUGAUCACUUGGUCCCUGCUGUCCUUGAGCCUACAGCAAAGCAGUACAAUGGAGCAGGGACAUGUAGCCGACCAAGCUGCUCAGGAAGUGACCAGGAAGCAAAAGGAGACAGAAAGAGGACAAGAUCCUGAUGGCCCCUAGUGACCAGGAAGCAAAAGGAGACAGAAAGAGGACAAGAUCCUGAUGGCCCCUUCAAAGACACCUGGCCCCACCAGAUGACUUCACCUCCUCUCACCAGGCUCCACCUCUUAAAUACUACCAGGAGUCAGGGACCAAGCCUUCAAUGCAUCAGCAUUUCGGGUGACAUAGAUCUAAACCACAGCAAUGUGAAAGCCUAAAGAGGAUGGAAAAAAACGACUACUUCACAGGGGUACGAAAGCUGCUGAGCUCUAUAAGUAUCCUAUGGAACUCUGGUUAAUGAAGAACCGACCAAAGAGAAGCUGAAGAGAAGAAGCAGCUUGGCUGAGAAAGCUCAAUAAAGAAGCACCUCAAAAGAGUUAUGGUUCUUCUGGUUGCCUUUACCGUGACCUCACUUGGGAAAGGCAGCACAGAACCAUUGAAUGUGUUCUCACCACCAUCUCCUGCAUCUCUGUGGUCAUCUCUGUGAGUUUAGACACCGAGUUACAUUCGGUGAACUUUAUGGCCUAUUCUUUUUUGUGUCUGUUGUGUCUAGCACAAUUCUUACUCAUGCCAUCGAUUAAGUCAGGGAGGCUAUUUUUGUGGAUCUUCUGUCUAACAAAAAGGAUUUUAUUUUUAACGUGUAUGGAAAAAUUGACAACCUGUGUGGAAUGCACAAUGACUGAUGGACUGAUGGAGUGAUGAGUGGACGAGUGCUGGGUAACACAUUUGCUGGGAAGACUCAAGCAAAUAUCUAUUUACCCCAAGACAGAACCAACAACGGACCAAAGUAACGAUUACAGCAAAGCUCAACUUGGUGAAUCAACUAAUUUAUUAGGGUUACUUAAAGUCCCAUAGGUGAGUGGUGUAGGGACGGCUCAAAAGCAGCUGCAUCAUCAAAAAGCCAACUCCAGCCGAUGUGCAGACUCAAAAGUUAUAUCCCUACAGCGAUUUCUACGAUGUGCAGACAGGUUGACAGGCCAGAACAUCUCCAGGUAAUUCUCCUGAUUGAAGAGCCUCUUCCCCUAGCAGUUAUUUAUUGCUCCCAUAAUGUUGGGAAGGGUCCUGUGUAUCUUGUUAAUUUCAGGAACUUCUCAAAACUUGUGCCCCUACCUCCUGUCCCCUGCAAGGAUUUUCCCUCCUGGAUAGAAUAUUUAAAUUUAGAGAAAAUUGCUGUACAACAAGAUGUUCAAAUCUAAUGAUUUAGAGUUCUGGGUAGUCAAGAUGUAUUUAAAUAUGUGUCUAAUGUACUUUUGCUGUGAAGAUUUGUCCUCACGGCUAAGCACCAUGUCUUUCUGCCCUGGUCCAGGAAGCUUCAAUUUGAUGGUUGAAUUGACAGUUCUUUAAGGUCAAUAGUCUUUAAUGUAGUUCUUUCAUGGGAACCUUCCUGCUGAUGACUUGGGAAUCCAGAGUGAAUUAUGCAAUCUUAUUCCUAGGUUUUUCCACAUUCACCCCAUGCCUGCCUUCCAUAUCCUAUCCUCAAAGAGGCCCUGGGAGGAGCAAUCAGAAAGAUCCCAUUCAGCUGGAAAUGCCAUCCCUUCUUAAACUUUAGGAGAGGAUAAUGUCACCUCAUAUGAUGUCACAUCGUAAUUCAGAGCACAUCUGGGCAUGGUAGCUUAUGAUUUUCAGUACUGGGGAGAUAGAGGCGGAUGAAUCUCUAUGAGUUUGAGGCCAAGAGUUCCAAGACAGCCAGAGCUACAUUUAAAAAACCUGUUUUAAACAAACAAACAAACAAACAAACAAGCAAGCAAGCAAAGCACAUCUGAAUUGGCAGCUCCCCUUGGUACCUGAGAGUGAAAGCUAACAAGCUCUCAGAAGACUUCCUGAAAAGGUCAUGAUGAUUGUCCUCCAGACUGAAGCUGGCACAGACAGGAGGGUCACCAAUCCCACUGAAGGCAAGGGUCUGGGUAAGUGUGUUUCUAGCCCAGGGAACUGAAUUUAUAUGUCUAACGUGAGUCACCCAAAGUUAGCAUGUUAGCACUCCAGUGUGACCACAGAAACAGUCUUGGGGAGGAAUCCUGGUGCAGUCGAUGGGGAAGAUUACACAGACUGGGCUACUGGUGUUUGUAGCUAAGUGAUGCCCUCUAUAUGUGCUGCUAGCUCACCUCUCCUGGAUCCCGUGACCAACUCUCCUUUACUUGUUGUAAGUUAAAUAGACACCUUUGACUAUCAGACAGACUGCACGGAAUUGCCCUGAAUUGCCACUUUAACUUAGUUAUGCUGUAUUCUUCUGCUUGGGAUGAAAAAAAAUUUGAGGGAUAGCACUAGGGAUCAAACUUAGGGCUUCCCAUAUGUUAGGUAAGUGCUCUAACCAUUGUGCUUCCGGCACAGUCCUUUUGAAUUUUAUUUUGACACAGUGUAUUACUAAAUUGACCAGGCUUGACUCAAGUUCUAUAGACUCCUGCUAGGAUUAUAGGCAUGUGUGAUCAUAACUGGUAUGGCUUAGAUCUUGAAAAUCUCAUUUCUGUCCUAUAAUUCAUCUGAUCCCACUAUUAAUACCUCCAGAUCCAAGGAGUUCACCAAAUCACAUGGCUCUAGUGGAAUAUGUGUUUGCCUUUGUCUGAAUUUUAAGGCUCCACUUAAAGUUAACACUUGUUAGUGUCAUCCAGUGUAUAAAGGAGGUCAGUGUUGCCAAGUGUGGGAUAUGCUGCCACCAAAAACAAAUAAGGUACACCAGGCACUAGACUUCCUAACUUAUAGGGAAUGUGAAGUCUUUCAUGGUCAAACAAAUACCCUCCAUCUUUUCCAGAAUGUACUAUGUUGUGGAAUAUUAAU